rnacentral:rRNA from 1 species
UACAGAGGGGGCAAGCGUUAUUCGGAAUUAUUGGGCGUAAAGGGCUCGUAGGCGGUUUGUCGCGUCGGGAGUGAAAUCCACUGGCUUAACUGGUGGCUUGCUUUCGAUACGGGCAGACUGGAGGUAUGCAGGGGAGAACGGAAUUCCUGGUGUAGCGGUAAAAUGCGCAGAUAUCGGGAGGAACACCGGUGGCGAAGGCGGUUCUCUGGGCCUGUACUGACGCUGAGGAGCGAAAGCGUGGGGAGCGAACAGG